AUGGGACACACCUUGCUCUGUGUGCUACUCUUGCUGAGUACACUCAUCAACUCUGGACACUCUGAAGAUGAUGAUGCUCUGCCUGUGGCCUCAGUGAGUGUCUCUCCUCAUGGUCUCCUCUACUCUGGAGAGACAGUCACUCUGCAGUGUGUCAUACCAGGCUACACAGACUGGACGUACUACUGGUACAAAAACAACCAACGCCUUCCUGAUGAGACCAGUAAAGUCAUUGAUAUCACCAUCCCCAUCACUCAGACUGGUCUGGUUGGUCAGUACAGAUGUGAGGGGACGAGGACAGAUUGGCCCCAGAAGUCACAACCCAGUGGUGACAUCACUAUCAGUGUCACUGCUCUGCCCAAAGCUACACUGACUGUAAAGCCAAACCCUGCAUACACUGGAGAGACAGUUACUCUGACGUGUUCAGUAGGGUCUGACAGUAGCUGGAGCUAUCAGUGGUACAAAGACAGGAAUGAUAAUGUAGUAUCCCAGUCUGGUUACAGUAACAUUGGAGUCUCUCACACCAUCAGUAGAGCUGGUGUGUCUGACCAGGGUCAGUACUGGUGUGAAGGGAACACAGUGUCUAGACCCACAUCUUCACUAACAAGUGAUCCUGUCACUCUCACUG